ACUGCUGAAACCAACAUCCGAAAACCCGAAGAGCCGAGCGAAGCGAGGCAAAACAACCGAAACUAUCAUUCCGAGACUGGAGAGGAGCCGAGCGAAGCGAGGCUAUACUACUUUAAUCACCAACUGCCUGUUUAACUGGAGAGCCGAGCGCAGCGAGGCAAAACAAUCCAAACCAUCAUACCACAAACAUUGGAGAGCCGAGCGCAGCGAGGCAAAACAUUUCAAAACAUUAUACCACAACCACUGAAGAGCCGAGCGAAGCGAGGCAAUACAGCUUAAGUAUAACCUAACCGUUAAAGAGGAGCCGAGCGAAGCGAGGCAAAUCAAUGCGAACCACCAUACUGCAAACCCUGGAGAGCCGAGCGAAGCGAGGCAACACUACUCAAACCCUCGUCAACACAACUAUAUAACCUGAGAGCCGAUUGUGGCUAAGAAAUAACUUCAAUGAAUAAAAAUUAAAGACAAAAGUGUAAGUUUGGCCGCGUUUAUAGUUCCAUACGUGUGCAACGAAAAACGUGAAAAGCUUAGUUCUAUAAUGUUAAAAAAUGCAAUUUAUCCUACUUACUUUGUCUUAAACAGCAGACCCACAUAAGAAAAUAAUGAAUAAAAAUCCUGUAAAUUUCGUUUCUAUGAAAAAGUUUAUUUUCAGGACAGAGUAAACUAAUAAUCGACACGCUAGAAAAACGCGCGAAUGGAGGUGACUCAGAUUUAUGAGGUGUUAAAGAACCCAAUAUUUGUACACAAAACGAUGUCGGCUCGCUACUAGGUAAAGUUUACGAAACCAAAAAAUGUCCAUAUAGAUCAGUUUCUCUACCGUAUUUGUGUGAGACAAUCCGUAAUUUAAAAA